rnacentral:rRNA from 1 species
AGCCGCGGUAAUCCAGCUCCAAUAGCGUAUAUUAAAGUUGUUGCAGUUAAAAAGCUCGUAGUUGAAUUUCGGGGUUAGUAGAUUGGUCAUGCCUCUGGUAUGCACUGGUCUUACUGAUUCCUCCUUCCUGAUGAACCGUAAUGCCAUUAAUUUGGUGUUGCGGGGAAACUGGACUGUUACUUUGAAAAAAUUAGAGUGUUAAAGCAGGCUAACGCUUGAAUACAUUAGCAUGGAAUAAUGAAAUAGGACGUUCGAUCUUAUUUUGUUGGUUUCUAGGGAUUGACGUAAUGAUUAAUAGGGAUAGUUGGGGGGCAUUAGUAUUCAAUUGUCAGAGGUGAAAUUCUUGGAUUUAUUGAAGACUAACUACUGCGAAAGCAUUUGCCAAGGAUGUUUUCAUUAAUCAAGAACGAAAGUUAGGGGGAUCGAAGACGAUCAGAUACCGUCGUAGUCUUAACCAUAAACUAUGCCGACUAGGGAUCGGAUGAUGUUAAUUUUUUAAUGACUCAUUCGGCGCCUUACG